rnacentral:lncRNA from 1 species
AAGAUCGUUGCCUCGGCCCCCUCCUUGGAAAAAUGGGCCUUUCUUUUCAUGCCCACCCCCCUCCAUUUAGGAAAGUUCAAGGAGAGAAUGUCCCUCCUGUUCCCCUCUUGACUUAAUCUCCUGUGUGGUUUCUGAGUCUGCCCAGUGGGAGUGGAGAGCUGGACACCAGAAAGUCAGGGCGGGAACCCCAGUGCAAUUAAUGAGGCUUUGUACUGGUAAUAGGGUCUUUAGUCAGAGAGCUGGAUGUUUGGGGAACAAAAAACAAAUAAAGUGAGCCUGCCUUCCUGAUGGAGAGAGACAGGCAAAGGUCCAGAGGAGGGAGGGGGUGUCUAGAAUGAACAGGGGACUUCAGCAUCCCUUCCAAUCCGCAUGGCUAGGCCACCACGGGAAUGCUACAUUGUAAAGUUUUAACAGUUGAGUGUGUUGAUUGGGCUGGUGGAAAGCUCUGUGCAGGGCUUGCUUCCUGCCCUGCUCACUUUACAUACCCAGGAGCUUCAGUUGCCAGCAAUCAGCUGCCCAACCCCCCAACCCCCCCAGUCUCAGUUUCUUACAAAAUGGGCAAAAUGGUAUCCUCUGUGAUUGUAGUGCCUGAUUCUGGGGGUGGGUGGGGGUGGGGCUGGAAUCACCAGAUUGUCAACAGAAUGGCUCCUAAACAAGCAAGUUUACCUCUCAUUCAUCUGGAGGCCGGAAAACCCCAGAUUUAGAAACUUGGCAGACUCGGUGUCUCAAGGUUUUACGUUCCAGUGCACACAUCCAUCCCAUGUUACUGUGUGGCCUUACGGGGGAGGGGCAAAAGAUCUUCCUCUGGCUUAUUUCUUUAUUAUCAUAUUUUGUGUAUAUGCUUUGAGACAGUCUUGUGGAGUUGCCCCUGUCUAUGGUCUUUAACUGCUGGGCCUUAAGAGGUCUUUCUGCUUCCAGGUGUACAGGGCAUAUAUGUGCCACUGUGCUUGGCUGUUCUGGCUCCUUUAUACUGACAAUAAUCUCACUUCCGAGGGCUCUGCCUUCAUGGCCCAAUAAUCUAUUUCAAUACGAUUGGGGGAUGGGUAGACUCUGAGACCAUGUGAGGUGGCAGGUAACUAGCAUUUAGUGUGUGCCUCUGGCUGCUGUCUCCAUGGCAAGGCAUACCUCACUGGGAAAGGAGCAGCCUCACCUCAUUGCGUUGCCACACAGCUCAGAUGCGGAUCAGGGUGGAUUGUGGACGACAAAGGUGUUUGCAGUAUAAAGUAGUUCCAUUUCCUCUCUUGGUCUUGUUAUUCCAAAUGUAAAGUGGGGAGGUUGGAGGGAAUAUUCAGCUUGGGUUUUCCAUCAAGACCCAGUGCAUAGGCAUUGGAUGUAGGGAAAGGACAGUGAUAGCCCUGUAUGUCUAAGGCAUACACGUUCCGGCCUGUGGGAGGGGAGACUUUUGAAUUGAUAAUAGAACCAUCUAGAGAAUGUGCUGAGGCGUUCCACGAUCUCUUUCUUGAGGGUGGUAUGGUCUACAUGCUGGGCUGUUUGUCUGCAGAGGUAUUUUGAGUUGGCAUGAAGAAUUGCUUGCACCAUUGUUCUUAAUGUUGCCAGCCCCGGCCAGCAAAAAACAAAAACAAAAACAAAAAAAACCACACUUGGAUUAUAAAAUAAUAAUGGCUCCCGCCAGAUCAGUGAGUCCUGCCUCAGCCUCCCAAGUAGCCCAGGUUUACAGGCCGUACCACCAAGUGCAGCUGUGUGGAGACCUCCCCACUUGCUGUCCUCCUGCCAGUCCUAAGCCGAACAGCAGGGUGUUUGGGAAUUUGUGGCUUCAUUUCAAGACUUGAUCCUUAUCGGAAGGGCGGGCAUUGUGGGAGGCUGUCAAGUGGGUGUCCAGGGCAGGUGGAAAGAAGAAAUAUUCGGCUCACCACCCAACCUACUUGUGACUGUUUGGUUAGAUCUUUGGGCCUGAUUAUUUUCUAGAGACAGAGGCGCUCCGGAACUGCAAGGCUGUCUACUCUUGGUCAAGAAACAGGUCAGAGCGAGGCAGGAAAGCAGCCUUAGGUCACACUGCCUCUGAACCAGGGACCUCUGUCUCCGCCUGGGCCAUGUUCUGGGUGAGGAGCCCUGAGCAAACUUGCCUUCUGGCUCCUGGCAGUACUUUAGAGGCUAGGAACUUGGGCAGUGGUUUAUUUUGUUCCUCGUGGGGUUCCUUGGGCUGGCUGUGGUGGCAUUUGGACUCUUUUUUCCUGCCAAGAGAUUAGAUAUAACAUUGCUUAGAGAGUCAGGAGGGCACCUGUGCUACAGCUGUAUUGACCGUGCAGCUGCCACAGGGCUAACCUGCUCUCGUUUCCCACCUGUGCCUUUGAGCCAUAGUGUUGCGGUUCCCAGCAAGCCUUUGACCUCUCGCUCCAGUGCAGUGGCUUAUAGGUCACAGACGUGGUGGGGUGCUGAUGUGGCAGCACAGAGAUAUGCCCCAUCGUGCUGACCGUCCUGUCAAGGUGGUCUUUGCUUCUCUUAGUUUCUUCGGUCCAUCAUUUUGCUGCUUUUAAUAAACACUCUAAAGCAGAUGUUCUCAACCUUCCCAAUGCUGUGACCCUUUAAUACAGUUCCUCAUGUUGUGGUGACAAGUUAUUUCCGUUGCUACAUGCAUAACUUGUAAUUUUGCUACUGUUAUGAAUCAUAGUGUAAAUGUCUGAUAUACAGGAUGGUCUUAAGGCAAUCCUUAAAAGGGUCAUUGAGCCCUCAAAGGGUUACAACCCAUAGGUUGAAAACCACUGCUCUACAGUAUUAAUGUCCUGAUACUAGCAUGUAGGAAGUCCUAAGUUAGAUCCCCAGAACCACAGAUACAUGUAAUUCCAGCAUUAGGGAAAUAGAGACAGAAGGAUCAGGAAGUUCAAAGGUCACCCUUGGCUACGUAGCAAGGUUGAGGCCAACCUGAGCUACAUAAAGACCUGUUUC